AGAGCGAACGCUGGCGGCAGGCCUAACACAUGCAAGUCGAGCGCCCGUAGCAAUACGGGAGCGGCAGACGGGAUAGUAACACGUGGGAACGCGCCCUUCGGUUCGGAAUAACUCAGGGAAACUUGAGCUAAUACCGGAUACGCCCUUACGGGGAAAGAUUUAUUGCCGAAGGAACGGCCCGCGUCCGAUUAGCUAGUUGGUGAGGUAAUGGCUCACCAAGGCGACGAUCGGUAGCUGGUCUGAGAGGAUGACCAGCAUCACUGGGACUGAGACACGGCCCAGACUCCUACGGGAGGCAGCAGUGGGGAAUAUGGACAAUGGGCGCAAGCCUGAUCCAGCCAUGCCGCGUGGAUGAUGAAGGCCUUAGGGUUGUAAAGUCCUUUUAACGGGGAAGAUAGUGACGGUACCCGUAGAAUAAGCCCGGCUAACUUCGUGCCAGCAGCCGC
rnacentral:rRNA from 1 species